rnacentral:misc_RNA from 1 species
AAGUCGUAACAAGGUUUCCGUAGGUGAACCUGCGGAAGGAUCAUUUCCAAAAAAACAAACAAUCAAAAAAUCCAAGGUCUCUUCUUGCCCCUAGGGGGAUUUAGAAGGGUGCCGAAGUGUGAAUAGUGCCAUUAUAUUUUUUACCCUUUAUGUGAGUAUGUUACACACUUGACUGUGUGUGCAUACAAACAUAAGGGAUGUUUAUGUUACUUCUCGUAAGUAAUAUAAGCAGCCUUCCUCUUGAAGAAGGGAGUUUAAAAGAUUUAACCGUCUCUUUACACCCUGCUUCAUUUGAAAGAACCACAACAGCACAAAGAAUCCAAAUUGGUAAAGUUUGUUCAUUUACAAUACUUUGAGUUUACUCUUAAAGUAACGAAUAAUAAAAAACAACUUUUAACUGUGGAUCUCUUGGCUCGU